AUGAACGCUGGCGGCGUGCUUAACACCUGCAAGUCGCACGAGAAGUGGAGACGGAAACCUUCGGGCGGAAGACUUUAUUUCGAGUGGCGGACGGGUGAGUAACGCGUGGGUAACCUGCCUCAUACAGGGGGAUAACAGUUGGAAACGACUGUUAAUACCGCAUAAGACCACAGCACCGCAUGGUGCGGGGGUAAAAACUCCGGUGGUAUGAGAUGGACCCGCGUUCGAUUAGCCAGUUGGCGGGGUAACGGCCCACCAAAGCGACGAUCGAUAGCCGAUCUGAGAGGAUGACCGGCCACAUUGGGACUGAGACACGGCCCACACUCCUACGGGAGGCAGCAGUGGGGAAUAUUGCACAAUGGGGGAAACCCUGAUGCAGCGACGCCGCGUGAGUGAAGAAGUAUUUCGGUAUGUAAAGCUCUAUCAGCAGGGAAGAAAAUGACGGUACCUGAGUAAGAAGCCCCGGCUAACUACGUG
rnacentral:rRNA from 1 species